AGACAUGCCAAAGACAUUUCUUCUCUCUCACUUUGGACCACUGGCUCUGCCUGCGUUGGCCCACUCGACCCAUUUAGAUAACUUCCCCUACUGUUUAAUUCUUCCUUCCCAUCCAGGCUUUUGGGAUAACAGCUGAUGAAAAUGGGACACGUCGUCUGUCUGCUUCAGCUGAAGGAAGAUGUGGACACCUGAGUUAAGACCCUAGCAAAUGACCUCCUUUAACUUUAACAAGAAAAUAAUAGGUGGUAUUUAUGGUUUCAGACGGGGUGUUGCAAGGUGAAGAGAUGACAGCCAGCCCAUUCAUCAACCAGAUCUGACAUCCCCAGCAGGACUUAUUUUCCUCCCUGAAUCUGAUCCAGCGCUCCGUCUAACCCGAGCUCUUCCCAUGCCUUUGCCAGGACACAAGGUAGAGGGACUCCUGGGGAGGUACCCAGGGACCCGGGCUGCACCAUGGACCCCCGGGGGAGGAAGCAGGGCUGAAAGCGGAGGAGUUUAUACAACUCAUGCGUGAUGUUCACAUCCACCUUGUGCGUCUCUGGAAAAUCCACCCAAACCCUCUGGAAACUUGAAAACCAUUUCAUUGUGCAAGAGCCAGAAGAAGAAAAGGUUUGGGGGAAAUGUCUCUGGACGCUGGACCAGGAGGACACCGUCCAGGCCUUCCUGUGUGAGACGCUGGCGAUGGACCUCAGGUUCAAGGGAAAGAUGGAGAAUGAUGCCACCUGCUGGGGUCGGUUAAGAAACACAAGCAGCUGUCAGAGGAGGACCACGCAGAGCAGUGGGAGGAAGAAGAAGAAGAAGAAGCACCACUGUCCUAACAGCUGCUCUGCUGUUGGCUGAGGACAAGGAGCUUGGGACAACCAUGCAGCAGAACACCUCGACUAUAAGUGACCCAGAUUGUAUAUUAAAUGCAUUAUGUAAAUAAGCUUAAUUGGAAUAUAUAUCAUGUUGUUCCCAGCGCUCCUUAUGAAU